UGAGGAAUAUUGGACAAUGGGCGCAAGCCUGAUCCAGCCAUGCCGCGUGCAGGAAGAAGCAUCUAUGGUGUGUAAACUGCUUUUGUACGGGAAGAAACGCUCCUUCGUGAAGGAGCUUGACGGUACCGUAAGAAUAAGGAUCGGCUAACUCCGUGCUAGCAGCCGCGGUAAUACGGAGGACCCAAGCGUUAUCCGGAAUCAUUGGGUUUAAAGGGUCCGUAGGCGGUUUGGUAAGUCAGUGGUGAAAGCCCAUCGCUCAACGAUGGAACGGCCAUUGAUACUGCUAGACUUGAAUUAUUAGGAAGUAACUAGAAUAUGUAGUGUAGCGGUGAAAUGCUUAGAUAUUACAUGGAAUACCAAUUGCGAAGGCAGGUUACUACUUGUGGAUUGACGCUGAUGGACGAAAGCGUGGGGAGCGAACA
rnacentral:rRNA from 1 species